rnacentral:lncRNA from 1 species
UUAGGGUUCCGGCAGUGGGAUUCUCGAGCAGAUUGGUGGCAGACGAGCAUCCGGCUGUAGAUGGUGGUUUUCUGGUAGAUCUAAGUUUUAAACCCCCAGCCGCUCCUUUUCGUUCUCUCUCAAAGAUUCAGUCCAGAUCUGCCCUCACUUCGCGAUUCACCAUAAGCUAAGAGGAGACAUGAUAGAGGAGAAAGGGAGCCGACAAAGCCCUAGCUGUUGCAUCAGGCGGAGAUGAUUAAAUUGAAGAAGUAGAUAUCAUGUUCCAUGCACUGAUGAACGAGAUAAACAUUAAUCUUGUGGCGUAUAAGACAAAAAGGAAGAACUACUAUGGAUGCCGACAAGAACCAUAUUACCAAAGACCAGUGCUUGGCGAGUGAGAAAAGACUCACAAGCGUUGUAUAGUCGUUUGGCUAAAGAAACAUGGAAAUCGUUUUGAGAUUGCUUGUUACAAGAACACGGUCCUCUCAUGGUGUCCUGGCGU